UAGUAGUGUUUCUGAAGCAAACACACCAGUUUUACCAGUGCAGAGCAACACUGCAUUAUAUUUCUAUUACUUUAAGACUAUUUCAUGGUUUGAUGUUACUGUUCCUUUAAUCAUACUGACUAUCAUUAUAACUAUUAGCGUGCAACGUUUUAAUGUAAACAUUUAGUUUGUGUCCUGCAACCUGUAGUGAUCUUUCAUGGUUUCUUCAACUUACACUCUAAUUGGUUCUCAGCCUGUCCAUCAGGGUAAUAACACCGACCUGUACUUUGGUGUUUAGAAAUGAAUAUAUUGGAAUAUUCCUAUUGCACACUUUCUUGCAUGUUCUGCAUUGCCUUUAGAAGCUAUUGUGCACUUCAUAUCCCAGAAUUCUUCUAUAUAUCUGCAGCCAAAUCUGUAUAUGUUGUAGUCUUGUGCAGUAAUACGUCAAAUAACAAGGCAAGGGAGUAUAGCCUAGUUGGGAUGGGGUUAGAUUUGGGCAUGCUUGGCAUCAUAUAUAUAUAUAUAUAUAUAUAUAUAUAUAUAUAUAGUAGGACAGCAGCAACACGUAGAGUAUAUAGUAGGACAGCUGUAACAGGUAGAGUAUAUAGUAGGACAGCUGUAACAGGUAGAGUAUAUAGUAGGACAGCAGUAACAGGUAGAGUAUAUAUCAGGACAACAGUAACAGAGUAUAUAGAAAAUUGUGACCGUAUCAGAUCAGUGUUGUGUGAGCUGUUGUUGCAGUACAACUCCCAGCCCCCACCAGCGGGCAAAGGUUGUCAAGCAGUUUGCUUAAUUGUAUAUCUGGUUAGAGCUUUAUGUCAUACAGUCUUGAUGUAUAUAAAUAAUAGGAACCCACAGUGGAUAUCCAGUACCAAAUGCUCAGAGUAAAAAAAAAAAAAAAUGUAACCAAUAUUUGCUUUUCUUUCUGCUAAGUGCUGUUCUUACUGGAACAA